CCUUACCUGGCCUUGACAUACUAAGAACUUUCCAGAGAUGGAUUGGUGCCUUCGGGAACUUAGAUACAGGUGCUGCAUGGCUGUCGUCGGCUCGUGUCGUGAGAUGUUGGGUUAAGUCCGCAACGAGCGCAACCCUUUUCCUUAUUUGCCAGCGGGUCAUGCCGGGAACUUUAAGGAUACUGCCAGUGACAAACUGGAGGAAGGCGGGGACGACGUCAAGUCAUCAUGGCCCUUACGGCCAGGGCUACACACGUGCUACAAUGGUCGGUACAAAGGGUUGCUACCUCGCGAGAGGAUGCUAAUCUCAAAAAGCCGAUCGUAGUCCGGAUCGCAGUCUGCAACUCGACUGCGUGAGGUCGGAAUCGCUAGUAAUCGCGGAUCAGAAUGCCGCGGUGAAUACGUUCCCGGGCCUUGUACACACCGCCCGUCACACCAUGGGAGUUUGUUGCACCAGAAGUAGGUAGUCUAACCGCAAGGAGGACGCUUACCACGGUGUGGCCGAUGACUGGGGUAAAGUCGUAACAAGGUAAGCGUAGAUGA
rnacentral:rRNA from 1 species